GCCACUGAAGCUGGACGCGGCAGGAGCCUCCGGGGCGUGCAGCCCUGCCCACACCUGGACCUCAGCUUCCCGUUCUCCGCCGCGGAGGGAGAAGGCGUAUCUGUGAAGCCACAUUCUCUGGGAAACGAAGCCUAUCAAAAUCCAGAAAGAGGCCCUGAAUAGUGCUGUGUCUCAUGGGGAUCAAAUCCUCGACUUGACCUUGCCUCCCCCACCUAAACCUUCCAGGCCGGACAGACUCACUGGACGGGAGGAUGAAGCCCGGCCCAGCUGCCCCGCACCCCACACGAGCGCCCGAGCGCAGCUAAGAGUCUUCACGUCGGGGUGGUGACGCGCGUGACCUCUAGCUGUUCCAGAGGCAGCAAAGGGGGCCUUCAUGCGAGAGGAACCCUCGCCUGCCUUCUGGACCAUUCCCGGGGCCAGCUCCCGCCACGGCUUCCUGAGACCACCCUCCUGUCCCCGGAACAUCUCCCAGGCGUGCUCCGGCCCCUCCUAGGAGGCGUGUGCCAGGCCUGCCUCCGACUGCUGCAGCGUCCGAGGCCAAGGGCCGGGUCAGGGCUGCCGGAUAAGACACGGCACUCAGCCCAGCGCAAAUUUCGGGUAAAUGACGAUGAAUUUUAUUUUGAUGUGGUGUGGCCCAAAUAUUGCUUCUGUUAAGAAUUUUUUUUUUUUGAGAUAGAGUCUCGCU